rnacentral:snRNA from 1 species
GCUCUUCCUUUGGCAGCACAUAUACAAGACCGGAGUGAUACAGGGAAGAUUAGCAUGGACCCCGGGCAAGAUGACAUGUAAAUUUGUGAAGCAUUCCAUAUUUUA